rnacentral:misc_RNA from 1 species
GGCAAGCACAAGUACUAUUCAGACACAAAUACAUGCAUGGUUAUAUAUAUCUAUGUAUAUACACCUCAAUUUGGGUAUAGAGCGCAUGGAGGCCACGAGAACGAUAGAAGAAAUCGACCGCGUCAUUAAGGCCAGAAUCGUUGGGUGCCUCUGUGGGCCUCUGUAGGGCCCCUCCGAUGGCUUGUUUCCCUCCUUUCAAAUCACCCGAUACACAUCCUCCCAUCUCUCCCUGUAUCUCUCGCUAAACUAGAAUCAAUGUGAAAGAAAAACCAGAAAAAUCUCUUCUAAAGCGCUGCAACAACCUAAUUCUCGCGUUCUACUGUUGUAUUAGUUGCCAAAAAUUCAAAUAAAA